AUGUUGUUAAUUUUGACAAGUAUAAGAGCGUAUAAUGGUUGUGAUCGUGUAGAUAUUGUUGUGGUCGUUCAUGGCAUUGGAACCAUCUGGUUAAUAAUUCUCCAGCAUCAGUGUUUGAUUGAGAGCAUAGCAUUCAGUUGGUAUCAUAGAUCACACAUGCUGUUUGAGGGGAGUCUGAUCUGUGGAAUGGUGAGAGUGAGACAUCUGAAUCGAAGACCAAUGUGUGUGCAGAAUCAUACAAAAAUGACCAGCAUCUACGGUCAGGAGAUAAAUUUUGGGGAAGAAUUGGGUUUUACAGGUAGUAGUGUACAUGUGCUGAACAGCAAACAUGGCCGCCUCUUAACUGAGGAAGACCAUCUUGAUUGA
rnacentral:rRNA from 1 species